CACACACACAGACACACUCCUUCCCAAGGCCGCUAAUGAACGCAACACCCUGAAAUGACAAGGUGCAGUGGGUUAUUAUUGUCCACAACCCUAAAGUCGUAAGCCUGUGAAUAUUUUGUAGGGAGCCCAAAAGCAGCUUCCAAGAGGCUGGAGAUGCUCUGAAUGGGGGCCAGCGCCGAGGACACGGCUGGGUUCCCCUGUGAGAACUCUCCCAGAGAGGGUAGGGUUCGCACACAUUGCCGGAAUACAAAGUUUAUAAGUUUCAAUGAAAUGGAAGCCUCCACCGUUGGUACGGUACCUGGUGAGACUCGCAGCUCUUUCCUUCUGUAAACGCAGUGAACUCAAGGUGGCCGUGGUGUCGUUGGCCAAGUGUGAAGACAUGCAAGGCCCUGCCUCUUCUGUCACCUUAUCUGCGGCAUCCAGACCUCCGGGCCACCAGGUCUCUUUCGCUCAACUGUGACAUCUAGGCAGGACCUGAGAAUCGCCCCCGGUAGGAAGUCCUGGCCGCCUCUGCGGCCCCGAUAGCCUUCUGCUGGCCCGGCCAGACAGAUGUGGGAAGUUUGCUUUGUCAGAAGCCGCCUCACAGGCCUCUCCCAGACCCUUUGAUCUCACCUCGGAAGAAAGUGAGAAUCUGUCCCCACAGAUCUCUGAAUCUGCAACAUUGGGACUUGAAAGACAAAGGGAGGAAGAUGAGGAGCUCAGGAAACGCUGGAAUCAGGCCGCGCUCUUUGAACUGCUGGCUCCUGGAAGGGCCUGCAUUGUGUGGCCGGUUAUCUUCCUCCAAGAUUUCCCUUUUUAUCUUUGUUCAGAUGGAGAUGUGCAAACGCAGGCUUCGGACUGGGUGGCUGCAAAGGCCAGCCCCUUCAGGGAAGGAAGGAAGGGGCGUCAUUCUCAACCUCUAGCAGUGCAGAGGCCAAGGGAUAAUAAUGACGGUGAUGGACAGUCCAGAGCAUGGGGUGGGUGGGGUGAGGGAAUGGCCUCCACAGAACAGAGAGAAGGGAAAGAUGCCUGAAGCUUGGCAGCUACAAGAUCCUCCCAGAUCUGGCCUUUGGUCUGAUGUGCUGCAGAGCUCGCUGGCCUUUCCUUCUGCUUCUGGCUGUAGAGAGGAGGUCACGCUCUUUGGGGCAUUCUAGUGCAACCCCCUGCAGCCUCUGGGUGGUGGCAAAGAAUCCCUGGGCCAGGAAAGCUGCCUCCUUGAAUGUCCCCUCUCCAUCCCCCUCCCUAAGCAGAUGACUAACCACUAACGUUGAUAGUGUUACGUGUUGGGCUCUGUUCUAGACUGGCUAACUCACACGCUCCUCCCAGCAACCACAGGAUCCAGGUGUCAUCAUUGUCCCGUUGUACAGCUGAGAACACCAAGGUACAUUAAGAAAUCUUGGGGUCACACAGCAGGAAGGUGAAGGACCAAUAUCUGAACCCACUCUGUUGGGCUCCAGAGCCCGCAGAAGGAGGAGAUAUCCUUGCUGCCAGGAAGCAUGAUUAACAGGCCCUUGUGGGUGGAUUCUUGGGCUGGGCGUGGCCCUUGUGUCCUGAGUCAGGAUGGCAGCUAAGGGAAGCAGGCCCAGUGGCCUCGAGUCACCCAUGACAUUGUGUGGAGCGGGCAUUCUAGAAUGUCGAUGCUGGGAUAUCAGCACUGCUGACUUCAGAGUUCCUGUGGAAGGGAGACCCAAAGACAAGAUGACAGCUCUCGGGCAGUGGUGACUCCCAUCAACCAGGGAGCCUUUCUAGGUGCACAGUAGGUUUUAGAGGGUGAAUGAAUGACGUAUAUUGACUUAGAAGCUCCAUUUACAGAAGACUCUGGAAGUCUCCUUCAACUGGACCCAUUCUCCUUGGCUUGCCAACGCCCGGGGCCAGGCUGCACAUGUCCUGCAUGCACCUUCAGAGCAGGGAGCAGGAAAAGGGAAAAUUAACAGCCCUGAGCAACGUCUCUGACAGCGCCAUUGUCAGCUCACACACUAAAUAGGGACACGUCACCUCCUCCAGCUUAGUGGGUGUCUGCGGGCCUGCUUUCUGUCCUAGGAUUCUCCAAGGCAAGAAAUAUUUCUGCCACUGCGAUUGGAUUGCUUCCCCGUUUCAAGCAUCGUCUGCGUGUUUGAAUUCAUCCUCAGACACCAACCCUCCAGGCGCCUUUUGACACCUCAGUAUUAGGCUAUUGCUAGAGUCUUGACCAGUCAGCCGUGCUGGACCUUUUUGAAAAUCUUCUCUCCCACACUUGCUUUAAUGUCUG
rnacentral:lncRNA from 1 species